rnacentral:rRNA from 1 species
UGCCAGCCGCCGCGGUAAUACAGAGAUGGCAACCGUUGUUCGGAAUCACUGGGCUUAAAGAGCACGUAGGCGGGAAUGUAAGUUGAUUGUGAAAGCCCAUGGCUUACCCAUGGAAUGGCAGUCAAAACUGUAUUUCUUGAGGCUAGAAGGGGAGAGUGGGACUCUUAGUGGAGCGGUGAAAUGCGUUGAUAUUAGGAGGAACGCCGGAGGCGAAAGCGACUCUCUGGACUAGAACUGACGCUGAGGUGCGAAAGCUAGGGGAGCAAACGGGAUUAGAUA